GAGUUUGAUCCUGGCUCAGGACGAACGCUGGCGGCGUGCCUAACACAUGCAAGUCGAACGGGGUAUGAAUAAUACCUAGUGGCGAACGGGUGAGUAACGCGUGAGCAACCUGACCUUUUGAGGGGGAUAACAACCGGAAACGGUUGCUAAUACCGCAUAAGACCACAGAGCCGCAUGGCUUAGAGGUCAAAGGAGUAAUCCGCAGAAGGAGGGGCUCGCGUCCCAUUAGAUAGUUGGUGAGGUAACGGCCCACCAAGUCAGCGAUGGGUAGCCGAGCUGAGAGGCUGAUCGGCCACACUGGAACUGAGACACGGUCCAGACUCCUACGGGAGGCAGCAGUGGGGAAUAUUGGGCAAUGGGGGAAACCCUGACCCAGCAACGCCGCGUGAGUGAAGAAGGCCUUCGGGUUGUAAAGCUCUGUCGCAGGGGACGAAAAAAAUGACGGUACCCUGUGAGGAAGCCCCGGCUAACUACGUGCCAGCAGCCGCGGUAAUACGUAGGGGGCGAGCGUUGUCCGGAAUUACUGGGCGUAAAGGGUGCGUAGGUGGCUUGUUAAGUUGGAUGUGAAAUCCCCGGGCUCAACUUGGGUGGUGCAUUCAAAACUGGCGAGCUAGAGUGCAGGAGAGGGAAGCGGAAUUCCUAGUGUAGCGGUGAAAUGCGUAGAUAUUAGGAGGAACACCAGUGGCGAAGGCGGCUUUCUGGACUGUAACUGACACUGAGGCACGAAAGCGUGGGGAGCAAACAGGAUUAGAUACCCUGGUAGUCCACGCUGUAAACGAUGAAUACUAGGUGUAAGGGGGUAUGAACUCCCCCUGUGCCGCAGCUAACGCAAUAAGUAUUCCGCCUGGGGAGUACGGCCGCAAGGUUGAAAC
rnacentral:rRNA from 1 species